rnacentral:lncRNA from 1 species
CGUGACUCCCUCCACGUCCACGAACAAGAGCCCUUCUGCAUUUAAAGAACAAGCUCACUGAUCCGGAUUCGUUCCAGAUUUUCUACCAUUCGUGAUAGCCAUCAACCACCCACGGAAACAGAAUCUUCUCCCCAAGCAUCACGAAGGAGCUCUCUUCCAAGAUCUUCCUUAUCCGAAUCCCCUGUUCCCAUCAGGAUCCGUUCGUGUUUGUUCCCAGCAACUGCAUCUCAGCCGGAUCAACCCCAUCCGGAUUUGCUCCCAGCUCAUCUUUCCUUCUCCGAAUAUCCUAGCUCACGAAUCAUUUCUUCUUCCCAUGACUUCCGAAUCCCCUGCAUCCCGAAAUUCCCUUGCUUCAGAACCACUUCCUCCCAGCAAAAUCUAAGCUUCCUCAUGCAACCCAGACUUCACGGACAGCAGUUCACGGAUCCGAACCUGCCUUGCAUCCUUAUCCCAACGUCCGGAUCAGAUCCUGCAUCAUCUACAGAUCGGAUCAAGCUUCCGCGUCCCAGCCAACAUCCAAGAGCUCCUUCCACAGCGGAACAGAGUCCGAGUCUUCAUCGAUCCAACCAUUCCGCAUCGUCCACGUCCUACGCAGCAUCCUGUGCACACGUUCCCUCCUUCCACCGAAUCCCAGCAGCCUAGAUUUGAAGAUAUCCUCUAGUUGAAGUCUUGGAUGGAGCCGUGAGGUCGAUGUUGGCUAUAAAAGGCCAUCAGCCUUUGGCAUAUGGGGGCAUGGAAGGAUCAGCCAGGCCCUUCUUUCAUUAGCGUCAUGCCAUCUUCUCCUCUCUCAUGCCACCUUCUCCCAUGGAAGAAAGGGAUUAGCCAGAGCUCCCUCUGUCAUCAUGCUGGCCUUCUCAUCCGAUCUCUCUCAGGCCAAAUCCCAUGGGAAGAAGAAGAAAUAAAAGGAGAGAUAGUAGUUUGGGUAUUUUGGGAAUGAUUUCCCAAAGAAAAAAUAAUAAUGAAGUUCAAAAGGGAGAGGAAGCCGACGGAAGAAAAGAGGGAGAACCCAGUCGUGAUGAAGGCCUUCUACAUCGUUGCUGCUAUCCCCCAUACCAUAGAAGGCUGAGCUCUGCACUAGGGCCGGAUGCAGCCCUAACAAAGGAUACGGGUUUUAUAUUUUAUUUUAUAUUCUUGAGGUUGUAUGAACUUAUUGUUUUCAAUGGAUAUCUUCUUUUAAAUCAUAUUUAAUUUCUGUGAUUUUAAGUAUGAUGUUCGUACAACUGUUCUUCAUGAUCACUAAGUAAAUAUAAGAUAGUCCAUGCUUAAGGAAGAUGCAGUGUCCUGCCACAUUAGUUUAGGGUAGACAUUUUAUGCCAACUGAAGAUGGAUUAUUCCCAAAUUAUUUUUGUAAAUUUCUAUUUAAAUGCUUAUUAGGCUUGUAGCCAAUUUGCAUAUUAAUUCAAGAAUAAAUUAAAAUACAAAUAAUCCUUGUUCCGAUGUUAGCGGUGAAUUCCUUGCCCUAGGUUUUUCUCAAACUCUUCUUUUUAAAUAUUUUUAUUUUUAAGAAAACAACUGUACCCCAAUCCCUGUGGAUCGAUAUCCGUAAUCACUAUCCUACCAGAUACGUGCUAUUGCGUGGUCUUUAAAGUUGACUAUCAAUCACGAGUAAUCAAUUCGAUUGAUAAUCAAUAGAAGAAGGAAUAAUGGGAAUUGAUUAAUUGAAGUUAAAACACGAAUCCUACUUGGAGUAGGAUUCCUGGAGUCCUAGUUGGAUUAGGACUGGAAAUCCUACUUGGACUAGGACUGAGAGCCCUACUUGGAGUAGGAUUCCUACAAUCCUAAUUAGAUUAGGAUUUUGAAUUCAAUAUGGAUUCCUACUUAAAAUUGGAUUCCUAGAAGUCCUAAUUAGAUUAGGACUUCGGAUUCAAAGUCGAAUCCUAAUUGGAUUAGGACUAAAAUUAAAUCAGUCCUAAUAGGAUUAGAAUUUCUUAAGUCCCAAUUAAUUAUUAAUCUAAUGAAUUAACAUGACUCCUAAUUGGGUUAGGAUUGAAGAGUUCAAUUGAGUCAUGAUUCAUUCAAGUUCUAAUUGGAUUAGGACUAGCAUUGAUUAAACCCAAAAUUGGUUCACCCUUGGUCUAAGCCUAAUUAGAUUAGGACCUAACCAUAAGUGGCCUUUCUAAUCCUCCUUAGAGGAGGAUUAGGUUAACCAAGAAGGAAGGGCGUACGCCCCUCCUACUUUUCCUCCUUGGUGCGGCAACACAAGAGGGGUUGGCGCCCCUCUUGGAAAAAGAUCAAGGGCUCCUAAUUUGUAGGAGCCCUUCAUGCCUUUAAAAGGAGAAGUGGGCGGCACCCUAGGGCAUUCAUUGAAGCCCUCUUCCUCUCCAAGCUGUCGCCCCCUUCCUCCCUUUGGUCUUCAACUGCAAGCAAGGAAGAAAAAGAAGAAGGCCUUGGCGGCCUCCCCUUCCCUUCCUUCUUCCAACGCAGGGAAAAGCAAAGGCUGGGUCUAGCCUUUGGUUCUUCAUCCAGAUCCCUCCUUCUUCUUCCUCCUCCCAAGCACAAUCAAGGAUUGAUUCAAAGGGAGAAAAUCAGCCAUCCAAAGUUGUCUCUGCAAGGGAGCUAGCACCCCGGGGAGACAAGGAAGCUUUGAUCGGAUCUCUACUUCGUGUGGAUACCCGUAGAGGCCGGACACGUGAAUAGCUUCAAGCGAACCCUCAUCCUAAACCACGAACUUCAGUUUGCGGUGAUCAUCUACCCGCACAAGGUGAAGAUCUAAUUUUCCUAAUGGUUUAAAAAGUUUUAAUCCUAAUCUAUCUACAAACGGUUUUUGAACAACGUUCAUAAGAUGAACGUCGAUCCCGCGCAUGCCUCUUCCGCUGCCAUCUAAAAAAUUUUUAAUUUUCUGCGGCAUGGGUGGGUUCCCAACAGUGGUAUUAGAGCCAGAUUUUGUAGUUUAAUAUUAGAAUUAAUUAUUAAAAGACGUAUAAGAUCUGAAAAUUGAAAGAUUAUGCAUGCUAAAAAUUUUCUGCAUGCAGAUUUUUCAGGGUUGCUGAUUUUUUUUGCAUGCUGAAUUUUUAUGUGAUAAGUUGAUGAUUCUAUUGCAUUGUUAAUGAGAUUACAAAGGUUUAGAAUCAUGUCUAGCAUGAUCAGCAACCCAUGUCAUAACGUAAUCAAUUAGAUUUCAGAUCUGAAAAUUCUAAUUGCUGCAUGUGGUGAUGAUCAUUGGAUUCAAACCCUUUUGGUAUCAAAUGUAAAGACCUGCGAUGUGAUCUGUAAUGUCAUGUAAUUUUUCAGAUGCUUGCAUGCAUCUUAUUUGAUGUUUUGAGAGGCCUAUGAGCCUCCUAAAAGGGGAUGUAAUUUAUUAUUAUAUAUCUGGUUGUAUUUCUGUGAUGUAAUGUACGUCAACGAUAAAGUCGAAGACAGUACAUGAGAUGAACGGCGAUCUGAGCAGUUGAUGGCGAUUGGAUCAAGAGUUGAUCAGGGAUCGAAUCAAGGAGGCUCGGGACAAAUUCAAGAGUUGAAGACCAACUAAUCGAUUGACGUGCAUGUGCUUGUAAUAUGACCUAAUUAGAAUCCAUGAUCAUCACCUAUUUAAAGUUCAGUGCUACAUCAUGGCAUCCAUGUCCAAUGAACUCCGAUGCCAGCAUGAGAAUAUGAAGACUGCUAGGGACAUACUGGCACACCUACAAGAGUUGUAUGGUGAGCAAAGUCGCACAGCUUGUUUUGAAGUGUCCAAGAGGCUCUUCAAAGCAAAGAUGUGCGAGGGACAGUCUGUCCAUGAUCACGGUCUGACUAUGAUCAAGGACCUAGAGGAGCUUGAGAAGCUCGGUAUGAACAUGCACAAGAAAUUGCAAGUAGAUCUGAUCCUUCAAUCCUUUCCUGAUUCAUUUGGACAGUUUAUAGUAAACUACCACAUGAAUAAGUUUGAAUGCACUAAGACUGAUGUUGCCCAGAUAGACAACCCAAGAGGGGGGGUGAAUUGGGNNNNNNNNNNNNNNNNNNNNNNNNNNNNNNNNNNNNNNNNNNNNNNNNNNNNNNNNNNNNNNNNNNNNNNNNNNNNNNNNNNNNNNNNNNNNNNNNNNNNNNNNNNNNNNNNNNNNNNNNNNNNNNNNNNNNNNNNNNNNNNNNNNNNNNNNNNNNNNNNNNNNNNNNNNNNNNNNNNNNNNNNNNNNNNNNNNNNNNNNNNNNNNNNNNNNNNNNNNNNNNNNNNNNNNNNNNNNNNNNNNNNNNNNNNNNNNNNNNNNNNNNNNNNNNNNNNNNNNNNNNNNNNNNNNNNNNNNNNNNNNNNNNNNNNNNNNNNNNNNNNNNNNNNNNNNNNNNNNNNNNNNNNCUAACCGAGCAGCUUAUUUUGGUUGGGCACUUCUUGGCACGCACUCUGGUCGGCGCCCUCUAGUCGAGCGCCUUCCUGGUCGGCAUCCUUUGGCCGAGCAGCUCUCUGGUCGGCGCUCUUUGGCCAGGCGCCUUUCCGGUCGGCAUCCUUUGGCCGAGCAGCUCUCUGGUCGGCGCUCUUUGGCCAGGCGCCUUUCCGGUCGGCACUCUUUGGCCGAGCGCCUCCGUUAUGGCAUGACUUGGGGUUUUUCCCCCAACAGUAAGUACAUGGCAUAUUUGGUGGAGAAACGGGUAAAGUAGAGAUGAAAUGGAAAUUUUGUUUCUUUUUCUAUAUCAUCAGACAAUAAGAUAAUGAAAAUAAGAAAAAACACAAAUCAUCAGUUUAUAAAUGAAGCAUGACUUUAUACUCUCCAAAAAUAUACAAAAGGGCAUUAUUUUUCAUUUUUUUGAACAAUUAUAAUGAACUAUAUAUUAAUCAAAAAAUUGUGAUUCCAGUUCUGAAAAUUUUUAAAUUUAUUGCUCUUUCAUAUCAAAAACUUAAAUUAUAUUUUCUUAGUAGUUGAUUUUUUCUCAAUAACCUCUACAUAACUUUUGGUAUUUUCUUAUGUGGAAUAGAUGGCAUCUUUACCGCAUAAUAAAAGCAAAAAAAGAGGCAGAAUAACUGAAGCUAAGAAAGCCGAAUUAAAAAUGGCUAUAGCUAAGAAAGCAAAAACUGAGAAUGCUUUAAGGGAUGUCGCCGACUAUAAUAGAAGGAUGUUGCCCUAUGAGUUUAAGAAAUUAUACUGUACCUUGAUGUGUUAUGAAAUGGACCCAAAUCACACUAUUAGGCAAUACUUUAAAGAACUAGAUAAAUUAAUAGUGAACAUUGAGAUGGUUGGUUUUGUUCUAUUAGAAGAAGAAAAGGUUGAAGGGUUAUGUAGGUCCUCACCGGCUCGUUAGGCUACAAUGGUUAACGAUAAUUGGGCACAAUUGGAGUUCCUUAAAAAGGAGUACAAAGUUGUGAAACGAAUUUUGUGCUAUGAGUGGGAACUUGAUUUGGAGUUUAAUAUGCAAAAUAUUGCAAAGCGCGCUGCAACAUUCUCCAUUUGUUCAAAUUCUCAAAGUAUAAAAUGUCACAUUGGCCUAUACCCCGGAUAGAAAAAAUGGGAUCUGAACUUGCGAGUAAUUUAAUCAAUAGAAAAAUACCAGUGUCUCAAAGUUUUAAAAGCGGAGAUUAAUGUACACAUAUUGUUUGUACAUUUCAUAGAACUUAUGUAUGAAGUAGGAUGAAAUUUGUAUUACUUGUGAACGCAUGUAGUUUAAUAUGUAUGCUAUAUGUGAUUUGUCCUAUUUUCUAUUUUCAUAAUUAAAUGUUAUGUGCAUUUAAUUAAUGUUGAUGAUAUGGAAAUAUCAUGUUAAGUGUCUGGUUCAGAAGUUUUGAAAUUCAUAAUAUCAACUUUUAUUUUCAGAUUUUUUUUAUAAAAAAAUGUUCCAUCGUACACACUCUUUCUCUAGAUCACUAUAUCAGGGCUCAUGGGAGAAACGAAAAUUCGGCUACUUUUUUAACCUUGAGUCAACGUGUCGAGUGAUACAUGAAUAGAAAUAUAUGCUCUGGAGAGACAGAAUAGAAGACCUAUUUCUAGUUAUGCACCAUAAUAUUGUGAGAAUUAAUUUAAGAACAUUAUGACAUGCAUGAAACUAAUGGCAAUCCUGUAUAAGUAUCCAAGAUCUACCCAAUGAAUAACCGAUGUGGGACUAAACACAUGCUCGUACGGGUUCUCACAUACUCCCCUCGUUCAAGCCCUGACGUUCUCGUUAUGCUAAGAAUUCAAAUCUAUUCAAAUCUAAUCACAAACACCACGAUCGGCUCGUGGUUAGCCCCAAUGGAUCUGUGUUGCAGUGUCCCUUAGUCCACAUAGGUUAUAGGCUGGGUCCGCUCUGAUACUAUUUGUAACAACCCAGAACCUCACCCAAAAUGGCUAGCCGGAAGGUAUAUUUAGGUUCUUUGAUUCUAUAUUGGAGCGUUUGGUAACCCCAACAGGAUCACCAUGGUGAUCUAAGAUCUCCGAUGAUCCGAAUACUGGGGUGAUUUAAUCCCCAGUGAUCUAACAUCACUGUGUUUGGUUGGCCAUGGUCCAGUAAUUAAAAAUUUCUAGGUAUCCAUGAGUAACUUGUUUGGUAUGGUGCGGGGAUCCAAGAUCACCGACCACAUAAUACCACAAAUACCCUUGAUAUAUCUUAGUUAGAUUUCUUAUGUGUUUUUAAUUCUCAUAAAUUAAAAUUGUAAGUCAAUAUGCUAAUUCCUAUAAUAGCUCCGUAAUUUUGUCACAUUCUACUUUUAGUAGCCCUUAAUAAGUUUCUUUUGCUUAUUCCUCUAUAAAAAAUUUCUUUUUGAUUCUUUGACGACCAUUUAUGCUAAUAAAAUUUACUAUAGAGACACGGACUGACCCCCUGAGAAAGAGAAUGCAGAGACGAGGUGUGGCGGGAACGGAUAUGUAAAUGUUUCCUUUCGUCUCGAUUAAAUACCAACAUAUGAAACAGAUUAAGUAGCUCUUCAAGGCGUUGGAAGGAAUGUAACAACUUCUCUUGUGCUCUUACGAAAAAAACCUGUUUCAUGCCCUUGUCGGAAUCUAUCUAAUACAUGAUCCAUGUUGGGGUGUAUGCCCGUGAAUUUGGAAGUAGAGAUAGAUUCAACGGAAGCUAUGUUUGAUCAAACAGCCUGAGUCGCUAGAACGGACGACUUGUCUCUUAAUUAUCCUAUUCUUCACAUCAUGUGAAAUUAUAUGUAAAAAUAUGGCAACCAUUUCCUCUACAUCCAUUUUUUAGAGGAUUUGAGUCUUUCUUGUGUUUUUAGUAAAUGACAUAAUUUGUGAAAGGCUCUCCUAUCGAUCCGUAUAUUUUCAACAGAGGCUAAGUCACUAUCAAACACAA